rnacentral:rRNA from 16 species
UUGAGAGGGAAGGACGCUUCCAAAGGCGAAAGGCCGUGGGGAGAUACCGUCCGUGAUCCAUGGAUCUCCGAUCGGGAAACCGUAUCCAAGCCCCGUGGCUAGUCCGCGCUCCUUGGACUUGAAAGACUUAGCGAACUGAAACAUCUAAGUAGCUAUGGGAAGGGGAAUCAACCGAGACCCCGUUAGUAGCGGCGAGCGAAAGCGGAUUGGGCAAAUACUAAGCAGCGGAGGUUUU